AUCGCCUACAGUGACGAAGUACGGAAUGAGCUCCUAGGGGAUGCUGGGAAUUCCUCAGAGAACCAGUUGAUAAAAUUACGUGAGGAGAGGGCACAUCUGCUGGAUAACACGGAAAGGCUGGAGAGGUCAUCUCGGAGACUAGAGGCUGGAUACCAGAUAGCAGUGGAGACCGAGCAAAUCGGCCAAGAGAUGUUGGAAAACCUGAGUCAUGACAGAGAGAGGAUACAGCGGGCACGUGAGCGACUCCGGGAAACAGAUGCAAACUUGGGGAAGAGCUCUCGGAUUCUGACUGGGAUGUUGCGAAGGACUAAGCCAGAAUCCAGUCAAGGACAGAAAUUCAUAGAGACCCGGCGGGCUCCCCAGAGAUGCUGAUAACCUUUCCACACUUGUUAUGGACCCACUAAUGACGCUACUUCAGGUUUUUGGGGUUUUUUGGACUUUUUUCAUUCUGAGAAGAAGAAACAGAAUAUGACACCACGUGAUUAAGAAGGCCAGGAAGACCUGGGAGGAGUUGGGAGAGGGGAAAGGGUAUGAUCAAAUUGUAUUCAAUGAAAAUAUAUAAAUCUAAUUAACAACUU
rnacentral:lncRNA from 1 species